rnacentral:rRNA from 1 species
CAGAGGGUGCAAGCGUUAAUCGGAAUUACUGGGCGUAAAGCGUGCGUAGUCGGUUAUCUAAGUCGGGUGUGAAAUCCCCGGGCUCAACCUGGGAAUUGCAUUCGAUACUGGAUAGCUAGAGUUCGGCAGAGGGAAGCGGAAUUUCGGGUGUAGCGGUGAAAUGCGUAGAUAUCCGAAGGAACAUCAGUGGCGAAAGCGGCUUCCUGGACCAGAACUGACGAUCAGGCGCGAAAGCGUGGGGAGCAAACAGGAUUAGAUACCCUGGUAGUCCACGCCAUAAACGAUGACAACUAGACGUUGGGAGGGUAAGCCUCACAGUGUCGCAGCUAACGCGUUAAGUUGUCCGCCUGGGGAGUACGGCCGCAAGGUUG